rnacentral:rRNA from 1 species
GACGAACGCUGGCGGCGUGCUUAACACAUGCAAGUCGAACGAUGAAGCCGGAGCUUGCUCUGGUGAAUUAGUGGCGAACGGGUGAGUAACACGUGAGUAACCUGCCCUUGACUCUGGGAUAACUGCUAGAAAUGGUAGCUAAUACCGGAUACGACCCUCGGAGGCAUCUUCAGGGGGUGGAAAGAAUUUCGGUCAAGGAUGGACUCGCGGCCUAUCAGCUAGUUGGUGAGGUAAUGGCUCACCAAGGCGACGACGGGUAGCCAGCCUGAGAGGGUGACCGGCCGCACUGGGACUGGGACACGGCCCAGACUCCUACUGGAGGCAGCAGUGGGGAAUAUUGCACAAUGGGCGCAAGCCUGAUGCAGCAACGCCGCGUGAGGGAUGACGGCCUUCGGGUUGUAAACCUCUUUUAGUAGGGAAGAAGCGAAAGUGACGGUACCUGCAGAAAAAGCACCGGCUAACUACGUGCCAGCCGCCGCAGUAA